rnacentral:rRNA from 1 species
AUUGAACGCUGGCGGCACGCCUAACACAUACAAGUCGAGCGGCAGCGGGUGUAGUAGCAAUACUACAUGCCGGCGAGCGGCGGACGGGUGAGUAAUACGUAAGAACUUGCCGUAUAGAUGGGGACAACCAAGGGAAACUUUGGCUAAUACCGAAUAAACUCGCGAGAGGAAAGGUGCCUAGCAAUAGGUGCCGCUAUAUGAGAGGCUUUCGUCCGAUUAGCUAGUUGGUGGGGUAAGAGCCUACCAAGGCGAUGAUCGGUAACUGGUCUGAGAGGCCGACCAGUCACACUGGGACUGAGACACGGCCCAGACUCCUACGGGAGGCAGCAGUGGGGAAUCUUGGACAAUGGGGGAAACCCUGAUCCAGCGAUGCCGCGUGGGUGAAGAAGGCCUUCGGGUUGUAAAGCCCUUUAAGCUGGGAAGAAGUUUGUCGUGUGAAUAGCACGAUAGAUUGACGGUACCGGCAGAAUAAGCGCCGGCAAACUCUGUGCCAGCAGCCGCGGUAA